AACAGAAACAUCAUUCAAGGAAAUGUUUAAAAGAAGCUUGAUUCAAAAACACUAUCAAAUGUUAAGUAAAACCAACAUAGAAGUAAGACUGUAGCAAUUGUUGUGCAUUAAAAUGCUCAGGUUAGAACCAAAUUUACAUGAUUGAAAAUGUGCAACAACUGAUCAAGUUCAGUCAGGAAGAUAGUCUAAUUGUAGUUGCAGUGAAAAGCCAAUUCCAUGUAAACUCCAGAAACUGUAAAAUGGUGCCAACCAAAUGCCAAUAAAGAAACUUACCAGGACUAAGGCACA